rnacentral:tRNA from 4 species
GCGGGAGUAGCUCAGUUGGUAGAGCAUCAGCUUCCCAAGCUGAGGGUCGCGGGUUCGAGCCCCGUCUCCCGCU